rnacentral:rRNA from 1 species
GAUGAACGCUGGCGGCGUGCCUAAUACAUGCAAGUCGAGCGAACGGACGAGAAGCUUGCUUCUCUGAUGUUAGCGGCGGACGGGUGAGUAACACGUGGAUAACCUACCUAUAAGACUGGGAUAACUUCGGGAAACCGGAGCUAAUACCGGAUAAUAUUAUGAACCGCAUGGUUCAAAAGUGAAAGACGGUCUUGCUGUCACUUAUAGAUGGAUCCGCGCUGCAUUAGCUAGUUGGUAAGGUAACUGCUUACCAAGGCAACGAUGCAUAGCCGACCUGAGAGGGUGAUCGGCCACACUGGAACUGAGACACGGUCCAGACUCCUACGGGAGGCAGCAGUAGGGAAUCUUCCGCAAUGGGCGAAAGCCUGACGGAGCAACGCCGCGUGAGUGAUGAAGGUCUUCGGAUCGUAAAACUCUGUUAUUAGGGAAGAACAUAUGUGUAAGUAACUGUGCACAUCUUGACGGUACCUAAUCAGAAAGCCACGGCUAACUACGUG